rnacentral:rRNA from 1 species
GGAUUAGGCAUGCAAGUCGAACGUGAAAGGGGAGCUUGCUCCCUUAGUAAAGUGGCGAACGGGUGAGUAACGCGUGAGAAACCUGCCUUCGACAGGGGGAUAACACUCCUAACGGGGUGCUAAUACCGCAUGAGACCACGGAGUCGCAUGGCUCCGAGGUCAAAGGUGGCCUCUAUUUAUAAGCUACCGGUCGAAGAUGGUCUCGCGUCCCAUUAGCUAGUUGGCGGUGUAAAGGACCACCAAGGCGACGAUGGGUAGCUGGUCUGAGAGGAUGGUCAGCCACACUGGGACUGAGAUACGGCCCAGACUCCUACGGGAGGCAGCAGUCGAGAGGCUUCGGCAAUGGGGGAAACCCUGACCGAGCGACGCCGCGUGAGGGAUGAAGGCCCUUGGGUUGUAAACCUCUUUUGUUCGGGAAGAAGUGCGAUCAGGUGAACAAUCUGGUCGUUUGACGGUACCGGACGAAUAAGCUCCGGCUAACUCCGUGCCAGCAGCCGCGGUAAUA